rnacentral:rRNA from 1 species
CACGCCCUAAACGAUGCGAACUAGGUGUUGGGGAAGGAGACUUCUUUAGUACCGUAGCUAACGCGUGAAGUUCGCCGCCUGGGGAGUACGGUCGCAAGACUGAAACUCAAAGGAAUUGACGGGGGCCCGCACAAGCGGUGGAGUAUGUGGUUUAAUUCGAUGCAACGCGAAGAACCUUACCUGGCCUUGACAUGUCCGGAAUCCUGCAGAGAUGCGGGAGUGCCUUCGGGAAUCGGAACACAGGUGC